rnacentral:rRNA from 1 species
UCGAGGAUCUUCGGCAAUGGGCGCAAGCCUGACCGAGCGACGCCGCGUGCGCGAUGAAGGCCUUCGGGUUGUAAAGCGCUGUCGAGGGGGAGGAAAGCCCGCAAGGGUCUGACCUAUCCCUGGAGGAAGCACGGGCUAAGUUCGUGCCAGCAGCCGCGGUAAGACGAACCGUGCAAACGUUGUUCGGAAUCACUGGGCUUAAAGGGCGCGUAGGCGGGCGGGCAAGUCUGGGGUGAAAUCUUUCGGCUCAACCGGAAAAGUGCCUCGGAUACUGCUCAUCUUGAGGGAGGUAGGGGCAUGCGGAACUUCUGGUGGAGCGGUGAAAUGCGUUGAUAUCAGAAGGAACGCCGGUGGCGAAAGCGGCGUGCUGGACCUCUUCUGACGCUGAGGCGCGAAAGCCAGGGGAGCAAACGG